AACUUUUAGGUACUGUGUGUCAGUUAGACCCCUUAAGUUUGGUAUGGACCCAAAGAUCAGCGGUUUGUAUCUCCCUUUGGAGAAACCAGACCUGUCCAUGAGGUCUCUGACAGUUCAUUCUUUUGUUUCUGACAUCCACCAGUUCUUUUUUUCACCUCUCUUUUAUUUUUUUCUUCCUUCCCUCGUCAUUAUAACAGGAGCAGUCUACUUUAUAAUACACUGUUCGAAGGCAAUUUAAUAUUCAGUUAAUAUUUUGAAAAAGCGGGAGAAAAUUCAGAACGAGGAUUUGGAAUAAAAGAUUAAUUUCUGCACUUACGGCUGCAAGUCUCCUCUCCAUUUCCAGCAGCGCCUGCUCCAUUUGGCUUUUAUCUGUCAGAGCUUUCAGCGUCGAGUCACAGUGACUUUGAAGAGCAUCUUGCACUGAACAGGGAAAUCAAUAAAAAACACAUUUGGUCUUUCAUUUGUAAAUGUGAAUAAAGCACUAUCAAUACUAUUGCUAGUUCCUCCAUGGCUUGGCAUGAAAUACUUCACUGUGCUGUGCAACCACAGUGAUUCACCCGCUGAGAUCUCCCCGAGCCCGAAGCGAUGAACAAUAGGGGAGAUGUUUAAUGCAAAGCACUUGAAAAUUAUAAGAUGCUUCGUAUAGGGCCAACCUCAUUUGCUGUGCGCGAUUAAUAUGGCAGCUGGAAAUGAAAGGGCUACAAAAAGCUGCAAAGCUUGGUUCAAUGCAAGGAAAGCUGAGGGUUCUGGAGCUGCACAACAGGCACGGUCAGGGGAGAGGAACCCAAAAUAUCUGACCCAUGGCAGUGUAACUGACCCUCUUCUGUCACCAGGUUCUGUCACCAGGAGCUUGAAUGUGUGAUGGGAAGAACAGUGUUGCUGAUAACAGGCAGGAGAUGCAAGAGGUUCAUGGCUAAGAAGUGCAACCAGGGACCAGAUGACAGAAAAUGCUGGAGAUCACUGGAGGAAAGCUGUGGCUCGCAGAAUGGCUUUGUGACAGCGGAGUGAACGUUUGAGUGGCCCUUUCAGACUUUGCAUCCGCCUGGUUAGACCCAAGGGCUACCUGCAAUCUGAGAGUAGGUUUCUGGGGAGCCUGCCAGCCCCUCCUUGGCCUGCAAGCCCAUAAAGAGGAGGAGACAGCAGUGACCAAAGGAGAAAACUCCUUUCGCAUCACUUCAUCACUUUCCAUCUCCACAUAGCGAGCACACAGCAUCAGCAAACUUAGCUCAGCUUGCUGCUCUUCCCCAAGUGCUUAAUUUUAGUUCAGAAUUAUUUUUAAAACUUUGUGAUUUCCCUAGUCUGUCUGUGCUUCUACAACAUGGUAUCCUCGGCCUAAAAAUAGCCCCACAUCCACUGGGCUUGUGAUCUGCACAUACGUUUGACUCAGCACAGCGUGCUGCAGGCAAGCAACCGACAGCCAGCCUUUGGAACACAUUUAAUUUGCAUGUGUAGGAGUAUUCUGCAGGAAAAAAACCCUCAGUACAGAGGAGGGGCACUCGCCUUCCCUCUCUGGCUUCCAUACCAGAGAAGUGUUCAAACUUGUCAAACACUAUUAAAGAAAAUAAAAAUGAACCUUAAUCUAGACUUAAAAGAAUAGGCAUUGAGACGGCCAAACCAGAUCACAUCAAGGACUCUGUGUCAAAUUUCUUAUCUUUGAAAAUGAUCAAGAACAGCUGCUUCAGAGAAA